UCAUGGCUCAGUGGCAAAGUAUCUGCCUGCAAUGCAGGAGAUCUGGGUUCGAUCCCUGGGUCGUGAA
rnacentral:tRNA from 1 species